AUUAUGGAUAUUUGGGGAAGGGAAGGGUGACAAUCGCUUACAUUAUCCAUUAAUUUAUACUCAAUCUUACAUGACGUAAUGGGACUUCGGAUGUUUCAAGUUUCAACAGUUCCACACGAGGUUUCAAGAAAGACAAUUUUGAACAUAAAAGAUAAAGUGAAAAUACUCUUUAUUUGAAGUAUCUACUAUUCGAUCACGCUACCAGAGGUUAAGAUGGCUAGUCCAGAGAAAAAUACAGCACUUGAAAAGAAAAUCGCCAAACAAAUUGAGGUAUAUUGACAAAAUUUUGUGGUGUGCAUAGACUAAUAUACUUAGUUAAUAUUUAAUACAAGUGAAUGUUGGUUAUCACUGAAUAGAAUUGCUUCACCAAUAAUAUAAAAUGGUUGUUAUCUUAGCAUUAAACAAUUGCAGUGUGAAGGAUAUGCAACUACCCUGAAAAAUAUAAGCAGAACGGAAGCAAAGGCC